ACCGCUGUCUAACGAAAUGAAUUAUUUAUUUUUAUAUUUUUGCAUACAUCCAAUGAUACACAAAUUGGGCCAUGAUGAUCGCCUGAAUUUAUUUUCCAGUAAGAACCAUGGGCAAAAUUUAUUCAACACCUUGAUUUCUUCGUGGCAGGGAGGAUCUCGAAAAGCUGUUCUUCGGCAUGCCUGCCGUAUUCACAGGGAUGUUAGGAGGUGAAGAGCUCUCUCAAGCAUAUACGAGUGGAGAUGUUUUCGUCAUGCCUUCAGAAUCAGAGACGCUCGGACACAUAAUGUCAUUUUCAGAAAACAGGUGAAAAGGGAAUAAGUUAUUCAAAGCUUGCGAAUUUAUCACCUAUAGUCGGCCUCUACUCAAGCUUAAUCUUGCGGUCGGUCCAGUCUCAAUAGCAACAUCUUUCUGCCGAAUGAAUACAUAAUUGAGGGCAGUUCAAGCUAUCAGUUUUACCCACGGUAAUUUGCCGUAACCUAUAAAAGAUUUGUAACAAUUUUACAAAUACAAACUUACUACAUAAAAGAUAGA